rnacentral:tRNA from 1 species
AUUUAUAUAAUAUAUCUAGUAUAUUUGACUUCCAAUCAAAAAGUUUUUAAUAAAAAUAUAAAUA